rnacentral:rRNA from 1 species
UUGAUCAUGGCUCAGAUUGAACGCUGGCGGCAGGCUUAACACAUGCAAGUCGAGCGGAGAGAGGUAGCUUGCUACUGAUCUUAGCGGCGGACGGGUGAGUAAUACUUAGGAAUCUGGCUAUUAGUGGGGGACAACAUUUCGAAAGGGAUGCUAAUACCGCAUACGUCCUACGGGAGAAAGCAGGGGAUCUUCGGACCUUGCGCUAAUAGAUGAGCCUAAGUCGGAUUAGCCAGUUGGUGGGGUAAAGCCUACCAAGGCGGCGAUCUGUAGCGGGUCUGAGAGGAUGAUCCGCCACACUGGGACUGAGACACGGCCCAGACUCCUACGGGAGGCAGCAGUGGGGAAUAUUGGACAAUGGGGGGAACCCUGAUCCAGCCAUGCCGCGUGUGUGAAGAAGGCCUUAUGGUUGUAAAGCACUUUAAGCGAGGAGGAGGGUACUGGUAUUAAUACUACCAGGUACUGGACGUUACUCGCAGAAUAAGCACCGGCUAACUCUGUGUCAGCAGCCGCGGUAAUACAGAGGGUGCGAGCGUUAAUCGGAUUUACUGGGCGUG